AACGUACGCUGGCGGCACGCCUAACACAUGCAAGUCGAACGAAGUAGCAAUACUUAGUGGCAGACGGGUGAGUAACAUGUAGGUAUCUGCCCUUUGGCCUGGAAUAACACGAGGAAACUUGUGCUAAUACCGGAUAAGUCUUUACGGAGAAAGCUUUAUGCACCAUUGGAUGAGCCUGCACUUGAUUAGUUUGUUGGUGGGGUAAUGGCCUACCAAGACUGUGAUCAAUAGCUGAUUUGAGAGGAUGAUCAGCCACAUUGGGACUGAGACACGGCCCAAACUCCUACGGGAGGCAGCAGUGGGGAAUCUUGCACAAUGGAGGAAACUCUGAUGCAGCGAUGCCGCGUGAGUGAAGAAGGCCCUUGGGUUGUAAAGCUCCUUCGUCGGGGAAGAAAAUGACUGUACCCGAAUAAGAAGGUCCGGCUAACUUCGUGCCAGCAGCCGCGGUAAUACGAAGGGACCUAGCGUAGUUCGGAAUUACUGGGCUUAAAGAGUUCGUAGGUGGUUGAAAAAGUUAGUGGUGAAAUCCCAGAGCUUAACUCUGGAACUGCCAUUAAAACUUUUCAGCUAGAGUAUGAUAGAGGAAAGCAGAAUUUCUAGUGUAGAGGUGAAAUUCGUAGAUAUUAGAAAGAAUACCAAUUGCGAAGGCAGCUUUCUGGAUCAUUACUGACACUGAGGAACGAAAGCAUGGGUAGCGAAGAGGAUUAGAUACCCUCGUAGUCCAUGCCGUAAACGAUGUGUGUUAGACGUUGGAAAUUUAUUUUCAGUGUCGCAGCGAAAGCGAUAAACACACCGCCUGGGGAGUACGACCGCAAGGUUAAAACUCAAAUGAAUUGACGGGGACCCGCACAAGUAGUGGAGCAUGUGGUUUAAUUCGAAGAUACGCGCAGAACCUUACCAACACUUGACAUGUUCGUCGCGACUCUAAGAGAUUAGAGUUUUCGGUUCGGCCGGACGAAACACAGGUGCUGCAUGGCUGUCGUCAGCUCGUGUCGUGAGAUGUUGGGUUAAGUCCCGCAACGAGCGCAACCCUCACUUUUAGUUGCCAUCAUUAAGUUGGGCACUCUGAAAGAACUGCCAGUGAUAAGCUGGAGGAAGGUGGGGAUGACGUCAAGUCCUCAUGGCCCUUACGUGUUGGGCUACACACGUGCUACAAUGGUAUCUACAACAGGAAGCAAGACUGCGAAGUUAAGCAAAUCCCUAAAAGAUACCUCAGUUCGGAUUGCACUCUGCAACUCGAGUGCAUGAAGCUGGAAUUACUAGUAAUCGUGGAUCAGCGUGCCACGGUGAAUGCGUUCCCGGGUCU
rnacentral:rRNA from 1 species